rnacentral:rRNA from 1 species
UACGAAGGGGGCUAGCGUUGCUCGGAAUCACUGGGCGUAAAGGGUGCGUAGGCGGGUUUUUAAGUCAGGGGUGAAAUCCUGGAGCUCAACUCCAGAACUGCCUUUGAUACUGAAGAUCUUGAGUCCGGGAGAGGUGAGUGGAACUGCGAGUGUAGAGGUGAAAUUCGUAGAUAUUCGCGAGAACACCAGUGGCGAAGGCGGCUCACUGGCCCGGUACUGACGCUGAGGCACGAAAGCGUGGGGAGCAAACAGG